rnacentral:lncRNA from 1 species
AUGUUUUGUUUUUCACCCAAAAUGAACUAUAUUGUUUCAGAAGAGAUUUAUUACCUGACUCUUAUAUAUUGUUCUGUUUUUUGUUUGUUUUUGUUAUUUUCAGGUUCAAUGGUGCGUGUUCUUCUAAUGGCCGCCUUCCCACCGGAGGUUUUGAUCCACAGCAAUUUAAAAGGAGGACAAAGCAAAACGGACAUCGGCGCAGAGUGAAGAACUGCCCUUCAUAAGGACACUAUGACAGCCAUAUAUAGUAAGUGAAGACUUUCUGUGUAUCUAAAAUUGCAUACAGCACAAGUAACUUACUUUGCAACCAUUACAAUAGGUUGCAAAGUAAGUUACCAAUACAAAUAGGUGAUGAUGCAUUGUAGUGGUUGGUCUCAGACAAAGAAGGUCAACAGAUUUAUGAAUGCUGGAGGGUAAGGAGAGACGACCAAAAGGGGUGUUAGCAUUACUGUAAUGUGAACUGGAUAGACUUUCCAUCUAGGAAAAAAAAAGAGGUAAAAUUAUGUGUAAAAUAUAUCUGUAUUAAUAUCUGUAUCUAUAUAAACAGAAAUAUCUGUUUGCUAAAUGAAGCUAGCUAACAUAAAUCAUAUUUUUAUUUUAACUCUGAUAAAAGUAAUAGAACUGUGACUUUUGUUUGUUACAGUGGCGGUAAGGAAGAGGUUUCCCAAUUUGUGCAGAAGGGCUUUGAGGAUUGCAGUGAAAGCUGGGGGAACUGAGACUGCUGGAAAAGGAAAAGAAAUUACAUUUUAAGUAUGUUGACUUAUGUUCAUACAAUCACACACACAUAUACACACACAUAUGUGUGUGUAUAUAUAUAUACACACACACAUAUAUGUGUAUGUGUGUGUUUCUUUUAGAAUGUUUAAGUAUGUAAUGAGAAUAAAAUUAUAAAAUGAAUAUUCCUUGCUUGAUUUAUAUGCAUGUUUUAAACAUCAAAUAAAGAUUUCUUUCAGCUAUUACAUGUGAAUGUGGUUUCUUAGAAAUAUAUGAAGGGUUAAUUUUAUAUAUUUUUGAAUGAUUUUAAAUAAGUUUAAAUUGUAUUUUGAAAUAUAUUUUAUAAA